ACUUAAGAGCUAGCUAUAUGUAAUAUUUAACAGAUAAGUAUUUACACAUAUUAAUACACUAAUAAACACAACUAAACCAUUUUCCCAUCAUAGUAUAGGUGAUAGAAAAGAAAAUUUAAGCUAUAGAUCAAGUACCGCAAGGGAAUGCUGAAAGAGAAAUGAAAUAACUUAGUAAAGUAAUAUAAAGCAGAGAUGAAAACUCGUACCUUUUGCAUCAUGUUUUAGCAAGAAUAAAUAAACAAAAUGUUUUCUAGAUUAUUUCCCCGAAACUUGGUGAGCUACUCCGGGACAGCCUGUUAAUAGGGCAAACACGUCUCUGUUGCAAAAGAGUGUGAAGAUCUCUGAGUAGAGGUGACAGACCUACCGAACCUAGUUAUAGCUGGUUACCUGAGAACUAAAUAAAAGUUUAGCCUCUUAUUUUUUAAAUUUAAUUAUGACUUAAUCAUUAAAAUAAUAAUAGAAUGUUAAAGAGUUAUUCAUAAGGGGUUCAGCUCUUAUGAAAAAGGAUACAACCUUAUUAAAUGGNUAAUGAACACAAAAUAAAAAGUUAAUGUUCUAGUAGGCUUAAAAGCAGCCAUCUAAGAAUAAAAGCGUCAAAGCUUAAACAUUCCUCCUACUUUUAAUAAAGAUAUCUUAUCUUACACCCUUAGAUUUAUCAGGUCUUUCCACCCACCGGUGGAAGAGAUCAUGCUAAUAUGAGUAAUAAGAAAACUUUCUCCUAAUACCCGUGUCAUUAAAAACGGAAAAGCCUUUUAAAAUUAAACGGUCCCAAAUAAAGAGGGAAUUAAAUAAUAAAAUGACAACAAGAAAACUAUUUAACUAGUAACCGUUAAACCCACACCGGCGUAUUUUAAAGGAAAGAUGAAAAGAAAAAGAAGGAACUCGGCAAAUAUAUUUCCAUAAGCCUCGCCUGUUUACCAAAAACAUCGCUUCUUGAUUUAUAGUAUAAGAAGUCCCGCCUGCUCUGUGACAAAGUUUAACGGCCGCGGUAUUUUGACCGUGCUAAGGUAGCGCAAUCACUUGUCUUUUAAAUAAAGACCUGUAUGAAUGGCAUAACGAGGGCUUAACUGUCUCCUUUUUCCCAUCAAUGAAAUUGAUCCUCUCGUGCAGAAGCGGGAAUGAGCACAUAAGACGAGAAGACCCUAUGGAUCUUUAGUCGCAAGAGUAGGUCAUAUUUCAAUUAUACCUAUAAUAGAUAAAAACCAAUGAACUCUACUCAAAUGUCUUUGGUUGGGGCGACCAUGGAGUAAAAUAUAACCUCCUUAAGGAAUGAAGUUACUUCUUCCAAUUUUAGAGUGACAACUCUGGACAGUAGAAAAUCUAACCAUAAAGAUCCGGCAAAGCCGAUCAAUGAACCAAGUUACCCUAGGGAUAACAGCGCAAUCCUCUUCUAGAGCCCAUAUCGACAAGGGGGUUUACGACCUCGAUGUUGGAUCAGGACAUCCUAAAGGUGCAGCAGCUAUUAAGGGUUCGUUUGUUCAACGAUUAAAGUCCUACGUGAUCUGAGUUCAGACCGGAGUAAUCCAGGUCAGUUUCUAUCUAUGAAAUAUUUUACUCCAGUACGAAAGGACAGAGUAAAAAAGGCCAAUGAUUAAUCAAGCCUUCUUCUUAACUAAUGAAGACAAAUUAAUAAGUAAAAGAAAAUACUUAUUAAGGAAAAGAUAAUUCCUC
rnacentral:rRNA from 1 species